ensembl:lncRNA
GCAGCAUGGUGCGGCGGCUGCCAUACGCCAAGCCCAGCUCCAGCAGGGCCAUCAGGGUGUAGCCCUCCAGGCUCAGAACCCCCAUGCUCCCCCCUCUCACCCCUCCAUGCCACAAGGGUCCUUGUUGCAGCCCUUCCAGCUGGCGUUUGGACCCACCAAGCAACACCUUCCAUCUGGGUACUACCAGGUGUUCCAAGGGAGAACCAAAGCCAUGCCCAACCUGAACUACAACGAGCAGUCUAAAGCCCAGCAACAACACCAACUGAUGCAGCUUCAGAUGCAACAGCAGCACCAAAUGCAUCAACAACAGCACCAGUUGCAGCAGCACCAGUUGCAGCAACAGCACCAGCACCAAAUGCAACAGCAUCAGCUCCAACUGCAGCAGCAAAUGCAACAGCAGUUUCACAAGCAGCAACUACAACAGGAGCAACGGCAACAAAUUCACCAGUUGCAGCAACAGCAGUUUACUGCCUCAAGAAAUACUGCAGCCACAGUCUCAGCAAAAGCAGCAGCCAAACCAACACUUCCUUAGCUACCACCAGCCCCCUGACAACUGUCCGUCUAGCGCUAGCCCCCCACCCUCUCAGAAGUACAAGCCUCCGUCUGUGGAAACUCAUGGACAGGGACAGACACCGGAAGUAGAGACCCCAUCCACUGAUCUGUCAAGCCCACCCUGCAACCCCUGCCCUCCAAUGGUCUCACCUAACCCCAUGUCACCCUCCUCCGACACACCUUUGGCUGCCCCCCGCCGUUCGCGCCGCCUCUCCAGAGACGCGCUGUCCCCCCUGGAUGGCCCUCCCUCACUAACCUCCUGGAACCAGACCUCCAGUGAGGUACCCCAGAACGGCGUGGUGGCCGGAGGAGAGGAAGGGAGGAUGGGGGAAGGCCAGGGUCCCACCGGGGGGGGCCAUACAGAGUACACGUCGGAGGGCGUCGAAAGAGAUCAAUCUGGAGACUCUGGCCCAGAAGGCUUCCGAGAUGGAGUCGAUGCCCGCUGCCAAGGUUGCCAAGAUAUCCAAGCAACCAGUGAUCCGGGUCAACAGCAUCAAUGUAUAACUUUAGUCCGUCCCCUCGCGCGAACCAGGGACCCUCUGCCCACAUCAAGUUACCCAUCGCUCCACAAAAGCUGCGGCCCUUGCAGCGCAAGGGGAACCACUACUUCAAGGUCUCAGCGCAACACCGAUUGAAAUGCUAUUAGUGCGCACCACUGCUAACUAGCUAGCCAUUUCACAUCCGUUACAUAUACAAUCACAUUGGGUCUCUCUAUUAUGUGUGGG